rnacentral:rRNA from 1 species
GAUGAACGCUAGCUACAGGCUUAACACAUGCAAGUCGAGGGGAAACGACAUCGAAAGCUUGCUUUUGAUGGGCGUCGACCGGCGCACGGGUGAGUAACGCGUAUCCAACCUGCCCAUCACUUGGGAAUAACCUUGCGAAAGUAAGACUAAUACCCAAUGAUAUCCCACGAAGGCAUCGGAAUGGGAUUAAAGAUUUAUCGGUGAUGGAUGGGGAUGCGUCUGAUUAGCUUGUUGGCGGGGUAACGGCCCACCAAGGCAACGAUCAGUAGGGGUUCUGAGAGGGAGGUCCCCCACAUUGGAACUGAGACACGGUCCAAACUCCUACGGGAGGCAGCAGUGAGGAAUAUUGGUCAAUGGGCGAGAGCCUGAACCAGCCAAGUAGCGUGCAGGAAGACGGCCCUAUGGGUUGUAAACUGCUUUUAUAAGGGAAUAAAGUGGGUCACGUGUGACUUUUUGCAUGUACCUUAUGAAUAAGGACCGGCUAAUUCCGUG